AGGCUGGAGUUGCAAUGUGGCUGAGUGCCUCCAACCAGCCCGACAAAGCGGGGUUCCAGGGGCACAGGAAAGCAGGCUCUGCACUCAGGUGGUCUAUAAGCUGACAAGGAAGUCAAGCCACCAACCCAGGGCUAUGGCACACUGUGGGGCCUUUGAUUACUUAAGAAACGUGAGUCUUCUCAAUAUUAAAGGAGGAGAUUCACGGAAAGAGGUCUCUGAUAACUUUAAGAUCAUACCAUUGGACUGGGUAAACGUUUCCGUAACUCUAAUAAAGAAAUUGAUGGGCUCAUGAAACUACUGACCAAGAUCAAGCAGAACAAAAAUUAAUUACAUGAAACGGAAUAAAAUGAUAAAUAAUAAUUGUGGGUUUUACGGUUUUUAAUUUGACACAUUGCUGGCAUUUUAUUUCUCAGAUUAAAAAAAAAAAACAAAAACCUUUUUCCUUAUAUUAGCUUUCAGCAAUUUGGUAAAGUUAUACUCUUAUGAACAAAAACGAAAUAUUUAUGUUUUCUCCCUACCUAAUCUCUCCAGAAUUCGGAAAUUAUUUGUGACUCUUCUUAUCUUUGCAUUAAUAUCGUUAUUUCCAUUAAGUUCAAUAUGAGUCUGCUGUCAUAACAGAAUAUAGUUGGAAAUACCAGUUUGGCUUCCUAGCUUUGAGAGUCCUUUAAAAGUUCAAUCUGAAAUUUCUUAUCCAAAGUUCCAGCAAAGCAAACUUUGUGAUCAGUCACUAGCGUUACUGGAGCUGUGUAAAUAAUCAGGUCAAAUUUGACGAGACUAAGCUUAUUUUGCAAAAAAAAAUUCACCUUGCUUUGAUUAUCUUUAGUAGAAAUGAGGGUGACUGUAGGGAAAAAACUAUGUUUCAGAAGAAAAACUAUAGCACACCUGUUAUUAGAUUGUAGCCCUGUUCGUUGUUUUUGAGUUUUUACUAUUUGUAGACUGAACUGGAUCCGGAAUUCUUCAACUUUCCUAUUUGGAAACAUCUGGCUACAACUCUCCAAAUACGAACAAGAACUGCUCUGUCCCAGAAGCCCUACAAGCUGGAGCUUGACAACUCCAUGUAUAUUGUGAGGGACAGGUCUCAUACCUGAUAUGUGGGCCACAGAGAGUUCACCCAAACACCAGAUGUUAUACUCACAGACAGUCAAACUGCAAACCAGGACAAGAAGCUGACAACUUCAUGCUGUGGACAGCUUUUCCCAAGACAUCAGAACAAGAUGUUUUAUCAUAAUGAGACUCUGACUCCUCUUGAUUUUUCCUUGCUUAUGCCUACUCUUUUCACUUGGCAGGAUAAUGCUCUAUUGCUGGAAUUGCACAAUCAGUAGCUUCUACAGAGACUUGAUGAAAAAAAUGGAUCUAUCAUGCCAAACCUAGUCAUGGGAUGGUAGGUAACAGAAAUGUUACCUUCUAGCCGAACAGGAAAUAAUCUGCACAGUUGCUAAUGCUUCUUGUUGCACAUGGAUAAACCGAACAAAUAAGCUGCUUGGCUAAAACAGGUAGAUUCCCCAUCUGGCUCAUUAUUUGAUCUAAAUGAUUUCAGUUGGUUUGGUUCAUGGGGACCCUGGCUAAGGGGCAUACUCCAGACUCUUGGUAUUAUCAUCCUCAUAGUCAUUAGCCACAACAGUAGUCUCCCUGGUGCACUGUAUCCUCUCAAAAAAGUCUUAAAUGUGCAUAUGUAGCAUCUGCUGAAUGGUAAAUGUUCUCUCUCUGGCUGGAAUGAUGGAAACUCCAAGAAAUGCAUGAUAAUGAGGACACCCAUGAAUGACGUGUUAAGAUUCAAACCCCAAAAUAAUGAUGACGGAGUAGUGCUGAUGCCCUAAGCUUUGGUCACACUGUCUCCUAGGUGAGAGCAUGACAAAAAGGGAGAAAUUGUUAAAUUAAAUUUAUAGGAAGUCAUUGGUUUGAACUGAGCUCCUGCAAUAAGCCCAAUAGACCAAACCAAAAUGGCGCCACUCACGCUGAAGUUCCAUACCACUAAGCCGAAAUAAGAUUUUUAUCUGACCUUCCGAGAAAUCAGGAGAGAGAGAGAAUAGCCAAAUCCCCAAACAGGUCAGUUGUAGCUAGAUGAUAAGAAAGUUCCCUCUGCUUUAACCUUUAUAAGAAAAGUAACUCUGAAACAACCAACCUGCUUUUUAUCUUCUGUUUCUGCUUUCCUCAGUUCUUUUCUUUCUAUAAAAGCAACCUUUGCUUGGCCCAUCAGAACACUCAAUUCUAUUCAAGUAUUGCCCAAUUCUGGAAUCACAAGUAAGAGCCAAUUCAGGUCUUUACAUUUGUUGUAAUGUUGUCUUUUGACAAUACCUUUUCAAAUCCCAGAUCCCAUCCGUUCCCAAGUCCUCUUGGAGUUUCCAUUAUAUCCAGGGAAUCUGUCCCACUGCCACCACCCUUAUCCAAGCUGCCAUCGUCUGCCUGCAAAUACAAGGUAGCCUAAGAAUUCCAUUCUUGACUUUCCGAGGCGCUCUCGCUCUUGCUCGCUCUCUCUCUCUCUCCUCCCAAACACUUAAUGGCUAUUUAGCUUGAGCUUGAGUUUAAGUGCUCUUAAACUCAAGGCUUUGACAGGCCCUACAAAAUCCAUCUCACCCCCUCUCCCACCUCUGCCUCAGGUCUCUGCCCACUGUUUUCUCACCUAGACAGUAUCCUCUCCCUCCCCAAGGGCCCACCUCACAUUUCACCUAGUUAACUCUGACUUACCCUUCAGAUCCUACUUCUGAUCUUUCAUAGUAUUUACUAGUCUGUAAUUACAGGGCAGGGGCUGGGGGAGGAAUUCUGCCUUUUUCAGUCAGGGUUCCAGCAGAGAAUGAGGCCUAAUACCCUAGGGCAUGCACUGGAUGUACUGAAUGAAUUUCUCUUCCACGCAUCCAGAAAGCAUCAGCUGUGUCACACUCCUGGAAGAGCUGAAGAGCUGAAUAGUCACAGAGUUCUGUAUUGUGUGGUUCAGAUGAGGAAUCCAGGUUUGAAAAGCUUUGUGCCAAAUACUACUUGACACAGAGUAGGUGCUCAAAGGUUUGUUAAAAUGAAACAGAAAUGUAAUCUUGCAAUGACCCCCAAGGCUGGCACGCUCUUGCUUAUUCUGCUCCAGUCACACUAGUCUCGUGCUGUUCCUUCAAUACCUACCAGGUCCCCCUGCCUGGCAUGCCUGUGCCCCAGUUAUCUGCUUGGCCAACUCCCUCACCUUCUCAAGACUUGAUGCAGAUCUCACCUUUCAAUGAGGCCACCCCGGACACCCUCUUUAGCUCUGCAACCUGACCCCACGAUCCCUGGAAUUCCUGAUGCCCCCUUAUCCUCCUUCCUACAGCACUCAUCACCUUCACACUUUCUUUACAUGCAGCUCACUGAUGGAUAAUGUUGAUUGUCUAUUGUGUAUCUUCCCCUACUAGGAAUAUAGGUUUCAUGAGGAGAUCUGGAACCCAAGUGGCUAAAACAAGGCCUGGCACGUGCCCUAUCAAUGUUCAUCAGAUAAAUGCAUGAACGUGCUUCUUCUGAGUUACUACUCUCUCAUAAUUUGGAAGCACACAGAGGCUGCCUGGUUCCAAUUCUGUAGAUUCUUUAGCUCAAAUCCCCGCCAAUGAUUAGAAUGCCUCUCCGUGUCCAGUUUCAAAUUUCUGAGGCAGAACCAAUUGACCCAGCUUGUCUUCCCAAAGCAGGCCACACGAUAGAGGUCAAUGGUAGCUACCCAUGGAUGAGCCAUUUAGUGUAGAAGGGCCUCUCAGCAUAACCGAAAAAGAGCAAAGCCAUCUGAAGCUAUUCAAUGUGGAAGCAAAAGCUCUCCCCAGAUCACAAGCGCACAGCUGUGUUACAGCAGAGGCCACACUGGGUAUCCGUGGAGGCGGGGGCAUAAGGAGUGAGUUGGAUCAAGUUAGAUGUUUAGCCGCCAAUCCUGACCUUAGUGGGGGCUGCUGCCAGGACUGAGUGGUGUACCUCAAUGUCUGGCUCACCCAGAAGAGGUGCAUCACUCCCUCAGGAAACUUAACUUAUAAAUGUCUAUAUGCAGCCAUCUGCUGAAUGGUAAAUGUUCUCUCUCUGGCUGGAAUGAUGGAAACUCCAAGAGAUGCAUGAUAAUGAGAACACCCAUGAAUGACGUGUUCCCAUCUCAUCUUCUCCAUAAACAGAUUUGUGGACAAGUGUAACCAGCAGACACUGAAAUAAAAAAUCAAAGUAACUCUGCAGGCAGGCAGGCAUUCUUUAGAACUCCUCACUGCACCCUGUUUCCUGCUGCGGAUUUUAUAAUGAACUGAAAGGCAGAGUGGCUGACACAAGCUGGAUAGUUCUGGCUCAGGAAGACGUCUCGUGAAGCUGCAGUCACCUGAGGCCUGACUGGGGCUGCAAGAGCUGCUUCCCUUCCCUGUGGGCUGCUAGUUGGAGCCACAGACCCUCACCUGUGGCCUCGCUUCACCACAGGACAGCUGGUCUCCCCCAGGGCAGGGGAUCCAAGAGAGACAGGCUGGCGGAAGCUACAACAUCUUGUACGACUUCUGCUGUAUUCUACUGGUCACAAGACCAGCCCCGAUGCAGAGAGGGAGGGGAUGACACCUGCAUGUGAAUACCAGGAGGCGGGGACCCCUGGACCAUCCUAGAGAAGACAUAUCACACAGUCUGUUCAUGUAGACAAAGGCCUAUUUUUUAAGGGCCCAGAGCUAACAAAAGGUUUUUCCAUCUUAAAGGGCUAUAAAAAGGAAAAUAAAGAAGCAUAUGUGACAGAGACCACAUGUGGCCUGCAAAGCUUAAAAUAUUUACUAUAUGGUCUUUAUAGAAAAAGUCUGAUGACCUCCGAUGUACACUGUACUUUACAGACGAUUUAAGGGAUCUUUCAAGGCUAAUUCUUCCUCUGUGCCAUGUUCUCUUUAUGCUCUGACUUUAGAAUCUAUCUCCCAAGUGAGCAGCUCUACUGAAACAGGUGCUCAGUGAACUGUAGCUCUGAAUAUCAUAGUGGCAAGUGCUAAGAAAUGAACAGCUUAUCAUAACCUGAACAGAAAGAUAAUAAUCAAGGGUUCCUUGUCCAUAAGGUGUCUGAUAAAUACAAACUCAGUGAAUCAAUGACUAAAUGGAUAAGAAAUACUACAAGGAUGCAUCUUGAAAGUACGGAGCUAUCAUGACAAUAAAAACAUCUUUAACCAAUGAUUUACAAUAUAAACACAACAAAAUGUGAAGGUGCUAUAAUAACAACGACAGCUGAAAUUUAUCGAGGGCUAACUCUAUGCCAAGUAUUGUCAAGUGUUCUUGCAUUCAUGCCUCAUACGCUAAGGCAGGUGCCUUCAUUUUACAGAUGAGUAAAUUGAGGCUGACAGAAAUGAAGUAAUUUCCCCAAGAUUACACUGAUACAUAAGUAGCAGGACUAUUUUCUCGCAGCAAGCUACAUAAAAAAGUAAGGAGCAACUCUGCAUCCUGAACGUCAUGCCUGAGAUCAGUUUGCUGAAAGUGCAGCAGAGACAGCAGCCCUCCACUGGCUCUGGCUUCUCCUCCAUCCCUUCUCGCUCCCUCCCUCCCUCACACUCAGCUGG